UCCAAUUAUACAGUCCAAAAAUAGAAAAAAUACGAAAAUAUAAAUCCUAUUCUAAACUAAUCUAUACUACGCUCCAAUGCUUUACCCGAUUCCGCGGGCCUUCAUCACGAUCAUUUUUUUCGCCAACAUGAUACGUCGGGGCAUUCUCUGGUGAAUAAAUACAAAAGACCUCGGGGCAUUCCCCGGCUAAAUGAAUACAUUUGAAUCGAAUGUGAUAAAGUAGAAAACAUUUAACACAUACUCCACAUUCAAACAUCCAACGAAACACUUAUUUCUAAAUUUUGCCUACCCUAACCUACGAUUGCCUACCCACUUGACCUAUCAUGAUAUUAUCCAAUUCGACAAUAUUCAGUAAUGAAUCAAAAAAUAAACAACCUUCAACCUAUUUGAUUAUCAAUUUCCAAUCCCGACCCCCUCAAAUCUCAUUUUUCGAUCAAACAAAUCAACUUCAAUAUAGAAACAUCCAAUCAAAGCCACGACAAUCAUAGAUGUUAAAACAUGCGAUCAAAAUAUAUUAUCAAUCAUCACGAAACACGCAAAUCACAACAUCAAUCUAUCAAGUUGAGUAAAAUGAAAAGAAGGAGUUGAAAAAUUGGACCUUAGAAGAAGCUUUCGAAAUCAACGUAUUAUUCCAAUUAAAUUCGGGUUCUCUGCAUCCGAAACCUUUGAUUCGAACCUCAACAAACGAACAACACCAAUCUCGAUUUAUCCUUUAUGCUCUGUUUUUCACCAAUUCGGUCCCGCAGCUCGACUAAUCUAUCCGACCCGCUCCCAUUUUUCUCUUAAUAGCUCUUUUUUAAUUAAAAUUGCUUUUUUCGACUAAAUCAUGACCAAAAUUCAGAACCGAACCGCAACAUCAAAUCUCAAACCGAUAGCUUCGACCUUAAUAUACGUUUUGUCUAGGACCCAGUUGUUUUUCUAAGCGUUUUGGUGCUGGGUUUGACUGGUCGUUGUUGUUUUUGGGGUUAUUUCCAAUGCGCUUUGUGGUGGUUUGGCCGGCUGGUAUCGAUUUCCGACAAAUGGGUUUGUUCGCUGGUGUUUUUUGAUCGAUAAAAAUCAAUGAUUUCGGUGGUUUUCGUCAGAAAACGAACUCGACCCCUCACUGUUCUCUCGUUUUUCCACUGCCUCAGCGUUUCCUCCCCUCAUGUUCAUCACUCUCGUAUCUUCACUGUGUAUCCAUAAUUAUGGAUAUAGUGAGGUCUUUGUGAAUAUCUGUGUGAGUAUAUGCCAAUUCCAGUGAGUCAGAAUUGUAUGUAUCAAAGAAGGAAAAAAAAAUCCCCUCCAGAAUUAUAGCUGUGUGCGUGUAUAUAUGUGGUGAGGGUGGGGUACUGGUGAGGUAGGUGGGGUCACGUGGGGUAGGGGGUAGUGGUGAGGUGGGGUAGAGUUUGUCAGGAUAGGGUAGGUAGGUGUUGUAUUUUAAUUGGGUGGGUUGUUAGAAUAUUAAGAUAAAACAAAAUUAGUUAGGGGUUGUUAUUUUUGACAUUUUGUGGAGGGAUUAUCACACGGGUGAAGGUAUACAAUAGGAUAAGGUAAACAAUAGGUAAAAACGAUAUCAGGAAAGAACGAAAUUAGGUGUGUAUAGGGACGGAGGGAGUAUCUUGUGUAUCUGACCAUAAUAAUAAAUGCUUUCAGAUAUGUGGGGUUUGAUUUUGUCAACAAUUUAAAGCAG
rnacentral:lncRNA from 1 species